AUCCAACUGACGAGUCCCAAAUAGGACGAAGUGAUGCGCGUCAUGGAU
rfam:Schistosoma margrebowiei strain Zambia genome assembly, scaffold: SMRZ_scaffold0000447